rnacentral:rRNA from 1 species
GACGAACGCUGGCGGCGUGCUUAACACAUGCAAGUCGAACGAAGUGGCGAACGGGUGAGUAACGCGUAAUCAACCUGCCCUUCGGAGGGGGCCAACAGUUGGAAACGACUGCUAAUACCGCAUACUGAAGGAGGGGAUUGCGUUGGAUUGGCUCGUUGGGGGGGUAACGGCCAACCAAGGCGAUGAUUAGUAGGCGGGUGGGGAGGAGGAACGGCCACAUUGGGACUGGGACACGGCCCAGACUCCUACGGGAGGCAGCAGGGGGGAAAUUUCCGCAAUGGACGAAAGUCUGACGGCGCAAAGCCCCGGGAGUGAUGACGGGCUUCGGGGUGGAAAGCUCUGUUAAGCGGGACGCGGUACCGGAAUAGAAAGCCACGGCUAACUACGUGCCAGCAGCCGCGGUAAUAC